AAAAGAGCAUCUUGUCCAUAGA
rnacentral:miRNA from 2 species